ACUUUAUAUUUAUGUGAUACUGAGGAUGGAACCCAGUGCCUCACGUGUGCUAGGCCAGCGCUCCACCUCUGAGCCACACCCCAGCCCCAGAGUGUAGCCCAGCAGUAGAGCGCUGUCCUCAUGUGUGCAAGGGUGUGGGCUCCAUCCCCGGCAUUGUGAAAAUAAAUGAAUAAAAAUACCCUAGGUAAAGAUGAGUAAAUCAAUGAACUUUUUUGUUUUAAAAUAAGGUGACAUUAUUGAGCACCCAUAUAUUCUGAGGUAUCAAAAACAGCAGAUCAAAAGAGGCGAGGUGAAGGGGAAUAUUUGCUGGGGCCCCUUCACUUCCGUUAUGUUGGAGUCAUGGUCUCUCUUCUCUGUAUUUGCAGACAAGAGGCCAAGAGGCAAGAUCCAGCUGUCAUGUUUUCACAAAGGCACCUGUAAUCAGAUAGAUUUGUUUUUCAGAAAAGGAAAAAAAAAAAAUGCAGAUAGUGAGUUUGGACAGGGCCUGGCUGAGGAGGGAGAGGUUUGAUUUUGGAAUGAUCCCCUUUGAUAUCUGCCCUGCUUUCUGGCCAGUCCCUCACCUCCGUGGCCUCCGGUUUCUUCUUCUGUGAAAAGAGGGCACUGUACCAGGUGAUAUCUGAAGUCCUCUGGUGCUAAUACUCUAUUCUUUGGCGAUAAAGGCGACACUGUGCCUACCUUUGGUGAUUCAAAUUCAUUGACAAGGUAUUUCACCGAUGGCCAAAGUUACCUCAAUGCCAAGAUUAGAAUACUGAGUUGGAGGCGUCAGGGUUAAUAAUUAUCUAAAAUGAAUGAGCCUCUUCUCACCUCAGCUGGGGCUUCCCGUCCAACUCUCUGAACAGAACAAAUAAAUAGGACAGCAGUGAAUUCAUUCACAGGCAGAGAUUAUUUUUGGCAAUUAGGAAAGUUGGACAUGUUUCAGUUUAUACAUCCCUAUUAUGCACAGAAGUGUGUACACGUUGAUAAACAUGCAUGUAUGUACCACUUGUCAUUGAAUGUGAAUAUUUCCAAAUAAUAAAAUUACAGGGGCCCGGGGCUGGGGCUCGGCAGUAGUGCACUUGCCUGGCACAUGUGAGGCACUGGGUUCGAUUCUUAGCACCGCAUAUAAAUAAAUAAAAUAAAGGUCUAUCCACAAAUGAAAAAUAUUUUUUAUAAUUGCAAUAGCUAACAAAAUAGUUAUUGAGCACACAUUAUGUGAAAGGACAGUUGAAGACUCCAUCUACCAUAACCAGUGACUUCUUAUUUUUAUUAAUUUCUCCUAUUCCAGUCUUAAUGUCCACAACUGAUAUUGAUUUCUCAAAAUAUGGAGGUCUACAAAGCCUACUGCCAAUAUUUUAUCUGGCAAACAUAACUUUUUUCUUCUUUUACAAUACUAAGAAUGAGCCCAAGGGUACUUUACCAUUGAGCCACAUCACCACUGUAUUUUUAUUCUGAGACAGGGCCUUGCUAAGUUGCCGAGGCUGGCCUUGACCUUGCAGUCUUCCUGCCUCAGCCUCCUGUGUCACUGGGAUCCCAGGCAUGUGCCACCGCACCUAGUGCAAGCAUCACUAUUACCAGAGCGUAGGGAACUGAUAAGUCAUAAAAGGGCUUUCACUUUGUCUGAAUGUUUGAAAAGGCCUUUCUGAAAAUGUGAGCAUUUGAUUAUGUUUACACCUAAAGGCAGGGAUUCUGCCUCCACAAAAGAAC
rnacentral:lncRNA from 1 species